GCUCAGUAACACGUGGAUAACCUGCCCUUGGGACCGGGAUAACCCCGGGAAACUGGGGAUAAUACCGGAUAACGCAUAUCUGCUGGAAUGCUUUAUGCGUAAAAUGGAUUUGUCUGCCCAAGGAUGGGUCUGCGGCCUAUCAGGUAGUAGUGGGUGUAAUGUACCUACUAGCCUACGACGGGUACGGGUUGUGAGAGCAAGAGCCCGGAGAUGGAUUCUGAGACAUGAAUCCAGGCCCUACGGGGCGCAGCAGGCGCGAAAACUUUACAAUGCGGGAAACCGUGAUAAGGGGACACCGAGUGCCAGCAUCAUAUGUUGGCUGUCCAGAUGUGUAAAAUACAUCUGUUAGCAAGGGCCGGGCAAGACCGGUGCCAGCCGCCGCGGUAACACCGGCGGCCCGAGUGGUGAUCGUGAUUAUUGGGUCUAAAGGGUCCGUAGCCGGUUUGGUCAGUCCUCCGGGAAAUCUGACGGCUCAACCGUUAGGCUUUCGGUGGAUACUGCCAGACUUGGAACCGGGAGAGGUAAGAGGUACUACAGGGGUAGGAGUGAAAUCUUGUAAUCCCUGUGAGGCCACCUGUGGCGAAGGCGUCUUACCAGAACGGGUUCGACGGUGAGGGACGAAAGCUGGGGGCACGAACCAGAUUAGAUACCCGGGUAGUCCCAGCCGUAAACGAUGCUCGCUAGGUGUCAGGCAUGGCGCGACCGUGUCUGGUGCCGCAGGGAAGCCGUGAAGCGAGCCACCUGGGAAGUACGGCCGCAAGGCUGAAACUUAAAGGAGUUGGCGGGGGAGCAC
rnacentral:rRNA from 1 species